AAUUGCUGCCUUGAAUCACAUAAGGUUUGGCUUUUGUUUUCUUAUUCAAAAUUUGAAUUGAAUUGACAUACUUGGGUGGAGAAUAUCUGACUUCAAUUCUGUACUGUGUUCCUGUGGUGGCUGGAAUGUCAUAGAUGCUCUGGGUGACUGGGUGUAUGGUUGAAUUAAUAUGGCUUCAUAUAUUUCAACCUAGUAACAGAGUUUGGAGAAUUCUUAAUACAUUGUAGAUUGGACUUCAAUAAGUAAUAAAUCAACUAUUGGUUAGAAUUUCAUCUAAAAUCAAGCACUGUAUUAAACAAGUCAAAUAGUUCCUAAGUGCCGGAGCUUGAUCAUUAUUUUCUUAUUUUGCAGUGGAGGUGAUUGCAGCCUUAA
rnacentral:misc_RNA from 1 species